AACGAACGCUGGCGGCAUGCCUAACACAUGCAAGUCGAACGAGAUCUUCGGGUCUAGUGGCGCACGGGUGCGUAACGCGUGGGAAUCUGCCCUUUGGUUCGGAAUAACAGUUGGAAACGACUGCUAAUACCGGAUGAUGACGAAAGUCCAAAGAUUUAUCGCCAGAGGAUGAGCCCGCGUAGGAUUAGCUAGUUGGGGGGGUAAAGGCGCACCAAGGCGACGAUCCUUAGCUGGUCUGAGAGGAUGAUCAGCCACACUGGGACUGAGACACGUCCCAGACUCCUACGGGAGGCAGCAGUGGGGAAUAUUGGACAAUUGGCGAAAGCCUGAUCCAGCAAUGCCGCGUGAGUGAUGAAGGCCUUAGGGUUGUAAAGCUCUUUUACCCGGGAUGAUAAUGACAGUACCGGGAGAAUAAGCUCCGGCUAACUCCGUGCCAGCCGCCGCAGUAA
rnacentral:rRNA from 1 species